rnacentral:rRNA from 1 species
GAGUUUGAUCGUGGCUCAGGACGAACGCUGGCGGCGUGCUUAACACAUGCAAGUUGCACGAGGGCGGGAGCUUGCUCCCGACCCGAGUGGCGAACGGGUGAGUAACACGUGACCAACCUGUCCCAGGGUGAGGGACAACCUGGGGAAACCCGGGCUAAUACCGCAUGAUGUCGCGAGGUCACAUGGCCUUGCGAUCAAAGAGGGCCUCUGCUUGCAAGCUCUCGCCCAGGGAGGGGGUCGCGGCAUAUCAGCUAGUUGGUAGGGUAACGGCCUACCAAGGCUACGACGUGUAGCGGGUCUGAGAGGACGACCCGCCUCAUUGGGACUGAGAUACGGCCCAGACUCCUACGGGAGGCAGCAGUGGGGAAUAUUGCGCAAUGGACGAAAGUCUGACGCAGCGACGCCGUGUGUGGGAGGAAGCUCUUCGGGGUGUAAACCACUGUCAGGAGGGAAGAAUGCGUUGACUCGAACAGGGUCUAGCGCUUGACGGUACCUCCAAAGGAAGCGCCGGCUAACUCCGUGCC